rnacentral:rRNA from 1 species
AUUGAACGCUGGCGGCAGGCCUAACACAUGCAAGUCGAGCGGAUGAAGGGAGCUUGCUCCUGGAUUCAGCGGCGGACGGGUGAGUAAUGCCUAGGAAUCUGCCUGGUAGUGGGGGAUAACGUCCGGAAACGGGCGCUAAUACCGCAUACGUCCUGAGGGAGAAAGUGGGGGAUCUUCGGACCUCACGCUAUCAGAUGAGCCUAGGUCGGAUUAGCUAGUUGGUGGGGUAAAGGCCUACCAAGGCGACGAUCCGUAACUGGUCUGAGAGGAGGAUCAGUCACACUGGAGAUGAGACACGGCCCAGACUCCUACGGGAGGCAGCAGUGGGGAAUAUUGGACAAUGGGCGAAAGCCUGAUCCAGCCAUGCCGCGGGUGUGAAGAAGGUCUUCGGAUUGUAAAGCACUUUAAGUUGGGAGGAAGGGCAGUAAGUUAAGACCUUGCUGUUUUGACGUUACCAACAGAAUAAGCACCGGCUAACUUCGU